UACAGAGGGUGCAAGCGUUGUUCGGAAUUAUUGGGCGUAAAGGGCGCGUAGGCGGUGCCACAAGUCACCUGUGAAAUCUCCGGGCUUAACUCGGAGCCUGCAGGCGAAACUGUGGUGCUGGAGUGUGGGAGAGGUGCGUGGAAUUCCCGGUGUAGCGGUGGAAUGCGUAGAGAUCCGGAAGAACACCGGUGGCGAAGGCGGCCCGCUGGGCAGAGACUGACGCUGAGGCGCGGACAGCGUGGGGGAGCAAACAGG
rnacentral:rRNA from 1 species